GUCGAUGGCUGUGUCCAGGACCUCUCAGGCCCUGGGCCCUGGUUGCUGCGGUGGAAGCUGCCUGUUCAGGCAUCAUCUCUAUCACCCCUUGAAGGGAGCCAAAGAGGUGUUUGCCAGUUGGAUGUUUUAUCUUGACUUGUCUUUCCUGAUUCUUUGUUAGAACACCCCCAGGGCUUGGUUUUUGUUCUCAACCUGUGAUUAGAAAUAAGAUCCUAAAGUGUCAGACCUGGAAGGCCCAUGAGAGCUGAGGAGAUCAAAUGGCAUGGGGUGCCCGGAGCUUGGGAGAUCAGAUGACCUGGGGCACCCCUGAGGGCUCGGGAGAUCAAAUGGCCUGGGGUGCCUAGAGCCAGUGGUGGCCUCCUCUGCAGCUCCUUCCUCUGUCCUACCCACCACAGAGUCCCUGCUGGCCCCUCCGCCACCACAGGUCCCCUGAGCAUUGCUGGGUUUGUUUCUCCAGCUCCUCCUGCUUCCUGCAGGAGCAGUUCCCAGAGGGGCGAUUUCUCCAGCCUGCCUGGUCGCGUCUCCUUCUUCACCUCGGGGUCCGAGAACCUGCACCGGGUGGAGAAGGUCCACUGGGGCACCCGUUACGCCAUCACCAUCGCCUUCAGCUGCAACCCUGACCAUGGCAUUGAGGACCCAGCGUUCCUGUAGCCGGCAGCCGAGCCAAGGUAACUUCAGGAGGGCCUGUGUGGAGGCAGCCGCGCCAGUCGUGCGCCCGCCCCCACGUCCACCCACUCCCGUUGCACAGAGUGCCUUAGGAAUUCUCUGAUUUUGAUUUGCUGAUGUGUUAAUCUUUUCAUCUGUGAGUAAAUGGAGGGAACCAGCUUUUCACUU
rnacentral:sRNA from 1 species